CAUAUUUUUGGGAUGAAUAGGAAGAGGGGUCUAUAUCAUUGUACAGAAGUACUGCAUGACCUAAGAUACACACGGAUGUAUUAAGAAGAAGUUUCCUGUUUGUCCAGAAAUUGUCAUGAUGGAGACACAGGAAUAAGGAAGUGUAUCUGAUUUUAUCAUAUACAGCACUGUAAACUAAAGGACCCACGUACGCAAUGUCUAACAAAAAUGGAUUUUAUCAAAUACAGCACUGUAAACUAAAGGACCCACGUACGCAAUGUCUAACAAAAAUG